rnacentral:lncRNA from 1 species
GGGCAUGAGGAAAUAUUUGAGGAGGAUGGUUAUGCUUACUCUUUUGACUGUGGUGAGAGUUUUCAUGGGUGAAAUUCAUGCAUCAAAAUUUAUCAAAUUGUAAAUGUGUAGUUUAUUAAUUAUGUGCAGUUUAUUAUAUAUCAAUUAAAGCCUAAUAAAGCAGUUUUAAAAAAUCCUUUAAUCAAUUUUCUGUAUUGCCAUAGAUGAAACUCAUGUCCCAGAUGGAAUUUCGAAUGUAGAAAUCUUUAAGGGGCAUUACAAUUCUGCAUACCCAGCUGUCUCACCACCAUCGCAAACCAAACAACUCAAGUCAUCUCCACCAUGGUAUCUGAAAUGCCUUCAAGAGGGAAUGCUGAUGUCACAGAUUACCUUCUGGAGAGCAAGAAUUCAUCGGGUGAGGAUGCUCUUGGGGGUCCGGUGAGC